GCUACCUUAUAAGCGUAACGGUGAUUUGGGUGGCUGCAGAUUAGCCAUCGAAGCCUCAGCUUCAGUUCUAUUUGAAGAAGAAUCCAUUGACAAGCUUUCGAUAUUGAGUACUUGAGCUUCCAACCUCUCCUCCUCUGAUGAAGCUAAAAACCUCUAAUGAACAGCUCUACCGGCCAAAGACUUAAAAAUUAGGCUUUCUAGUUUUUGAUUUAUUAGAAUGUUUGAUUUAUUGGAAUGUUUGAUUGGAGAUAAUUUAAGACUCUAGAUGUCUGGACUUUUCCAAGCUUACUUUGGGGGAGAAUUACAUAAGGGAAAGUUAAAGUUAGAUUACUAAGUGGGAUAAUGAUUGGCUUCCUAGAAAUUUGGGCCAGAAAAACCCAACAAAGUAAUUAAAUGGGCCGCAUUCGGAGGAACAAACUCAUUUACUAUUAUCUUCGACUUUUUUCCAUCCGUACCUUUUUCUAUUGUAGCCUUUCUUUUUCCCAAUAGAUGAUCCAAUGAACCCUCAGAAACAUCACUUAUUGACGAAGACGGCUCAUUAGACAAACUAGGAUCUCUUCG
rnacentral:lncRNA from 1 species